AGAGUUUGAUCCUGGCUCAGAUUGAACGCUGGCGGCGUGCUUAACACAUGCAAGUCGAACGAGAAAGGGACUUCGGUCCUGAGUAGAGUGGCGCACGGGUGAGUAACGCGUAGGUAAUCUACCUCUGCAUCUGGGAUAACACUUCGAAAGGGGUGCUAAUACCGGAUACACUUAUGGAUCGCAAGAUCUAUAAGGAAAGGAGACCUCUCCUUGGAAGUUUCUGUGUAGAGAUGAGCCUGCGUCCCAUUAGCUAGUUGGUAGGGUAAAGGCCUACCAAGGCGACGAUGGGUAGCGGGUCUGAGAGGAUGAUCCGCCACACUGGAACUGAAACACGGACCAGACUCCUACGGGAGGCAGCAGUGAGGAAUAUUGGACAAUGGGCGCAAGCCUGAUCCAGCGACGCCGCGUGAGUGAUGAAGGCCUUUGGGUCGUAAAGCUCUGUCAGCAGGGAAGAACGGCCGUGUGGUUAAUACCCAUGCGGAUUGACGGUACCUGCAGAGGAAGCACCGGCUAACUCCGUGCCAGCAGCCGCGGUAAUACGGAGGGUGCGAGCGUUAAUCGGAAUUACUGGGCGUAAAGGGCGCGUAGGCGGCUGAUCAAGUCAGGUGUGAAAGCCCACGGCUUAACCGUGUGAAGUGCAUCUGAAACUGGUCGGCUUGAGUAUCGGAGAGGAAAGUGGAAUUCCCGGUGUAGAGGUGAAAUUCGUAGAUAUCGGGAGGAAUACCGGUGGCGAAGGCGACUUUCUGGACGAAUACUGACGCUGAGGCGCGAAAGCGUGGGGAGCAAACAGGAUUAGAUACCCUGGUAGUCCACAGCUGUAAACGAUGUGCACUAGAUGUGGGGAAGUGUUGACCUUUCCUGUGUCGCAGCUAACGCAUUAAGUGCACCG
rnacentral:rRNA from 1 species